rnacentral:tRNA from 1 species
GCCUGAGUGGCUCAGUCGGUUAAGCAGCCGACUUUGGCUCAGGUCAUAACGGUCUGUGAGUUCGAGUCUCAUGUCAGGCU